UACGAAGGGAGCUAGCGUUGUUCGGAAUCACUGGGCGUAAAGCGCACGUAGGCGGAUUUGUCAGUCAGGGGUGAAAUCCCGGGGCUCAACCUCGGAACUGCCUUUGAUACAGCAAGUCUUGAGUUCGAGAGAGGUGGGUGGAAUUCCUAGUGUAGAGGUGAAAUUCGUAGAUAUUAGGAAGAACACCGGUGGCGAAGGCGGCCCACUGGCUCGAUACUGACGCUGAGGUGCGAAAAGCGUGGGGGAGCAAACAGG
rnacentral:rRNA from 1 species